rnacentral:rRNA from 1 species
GGUUCGGCCCUCGGCUGACGGCUCAGUAACACGUGGAUAAUCUGCCCUUAGGUGGAGGAUAAUCUCGGGAAACUGAGGAUAAUACUCCAUAAAUCUAGGAUGCUGGAAUGCAUCUAGAUUGAAAGCUCCGGCGCCUAAGGAUGAGUCUGCGGACUAUCAGGUUGUAGUCAGGGUAAAGACCUGACUAGCCUACGACGGAUACGGGUUGUGAGAGCAAUAACCCGGAGACGAUAUCUGAGACACGAUAUCGGGCCCUACGGGGCGCAGCAGGCGUGAAAACUUCACACUGUGCGAAAGCGCGAUGAGGGAAUCCCAAGUGUUUGCUCGUAAGAGUAAACUGUUUCUUUGUUUAAAACGCAGAGAGAGUAAGGGCUGGGUAAGACGGGUGCCAGCCGCCGCGGUAAUACCUGCAGCUCGAGUGGUGAUCAUUAUUAUUGGGCCUAAAACGUCCGUAGCCGGCUUAGUAAAUGCCUGGGUAAAUCGUGUAGCUUAACUAUACGACUUCCGGGUAGACUGCUAAACUUGAGACCGGGAGAGGCUAGAGGUACUCCUGGGGUAGAGGUGAAAUUCUGUAAUCCUAGGGGGACCACCAGUGGCGAAGCGUCUA